rnacentral:rRNA from 1 species
ACGCUAGCUACAGGCUUAACACAUGCAAGUCGAGGGGCAGCAUUUUAGUUUGCUUGCAAACUGAAGAUGGCGACCGGCGCACGGGUGAGUAACACGUAUCCAACCUGCCGAUAACUCCGGGAUAGCCUUUCGAAAGAAAGAUUAAUACCGGAUAGCAUACGAAUAUCGCAUGAUAUUUUUAUUAAAGAAUUUCGGUUAUCGAUGGGGAUGCGUUCCAUUAGUUUGUUGGCGGGGUAACGGCCCACCAAGACUACGAUGGAUAGGGGUUCUGAGAGGAAGGUCCCCCACAUUGGAACUGAGACACGGUCCAAACUCCUACGGGAGGCAGCAGUGAGGAAUAUUGGUCAAUGGGCGCGAGCCUGAACCAGCCAAGUAGCGUGAAGGAUGAAGGCUCUAUGGGUCGUAAACUUCUUUUAUAUGGGAAUAAAGUUUUCCACGUGUGGAAUUUUGUAUGUACCAUAUGAAUAAGGAUCGGCUAACUCCGUGCCAGCAGCCGCGGUAAUACGGAGGAUCCGAGCGUUAUCCGGAUUUAUUGGGUUUAAAGGGAGCGUAGGUGGAUUGUUAAGUCAGUUGUGAAAGUUUGCGGCUCAACCGUAAAAUUGCAGUUGAAACUGGCAGUCUUGAGUACAGUAGAGGUGGGCGGAAUUCGUGGUGUAGCGGUGAAAUGCUUAGAUAUCACGAAGAACUCCGAUUGCGAAGGCAGCUCACUAGACUGUCACUGACACUGAUGCUCGAAAGUGUGGGUAUCAAACAGGAUUAGAUACCCUGGUAGUCCACACAGUAAACGAUGAAUACUCGCUGUUUGCGAUAUACAGUAAGCGGCCAAGCGAAAGCAUUAAGUAUUCCACCUGGGGAGUACGCCGGCAACGGUGAAACUCAAAGGAAUUGACGGGGGCCCGCACAAGCGGAGGAACAUGUGGUUUAAUUCGAUGAUACGCGAGGAACCUUACCCGGGCUUAAAUUGCAACAGAAUAUAUUGGAAACAGUAUAGCCGUAAGGCUGUUGUGAAGGUGCUGCAUGGUUGUCGUCAGCUCGUGCCGUGAGGUGUCGGCUUAAGUGCCAUAACGAGCGCAACCCUUAUCUUUAGUUACUAACAGGUCAUGCUGAGGACUCUAGAGAGACUGCCGUCGUAAGAUGUGAGGAAGGUGGGGAUGACGUCAAAUCAGCACGGCCCUUACGUCCGGGGCUACACACGUGUUACAAUGGGGGGUACAGAAGGCGGCUACCUGGUGACAGGAUGCUAAUCCCAAAAACCUCUCUCAGUUCGGAUCGAAGUCUGCAACCCGACUUCGUGAAGCUGGAUUCGCUAGUAAUCGCGCAUCAGCCAUGGCGCGGUGAAUACGUUCCCGGGCCUUGUACACACCGCCCGUCAAGCCAUGAAAGCCGGGGGUACCUGAAGUACGUAACCGCAAGGAGCGUCCUAGGGUAAAACUGGU